UUGAAGUCUUUCAUUGAUCAUGGAAGACGAUCCGGAGCCUGACAUAGCAUUACAUUUCUUUCAAAAUUUUCAAUGUUUCUUAAAAAUGGAUGGUAUAGGGAAAACGAAGGCUGAACAAGAGCUCCAAUCUUGCUAUAGCAUCAUUGGAGCUGUUAUUAGUUCUGGCCAUUGGAGUAAUUUGAGCCAAUGUCGAAAAAGACAUUGGAGCAAAAAGCCUCCAUAUUUUAUGCUUCUUUAAAUGGUGAAGAGCAAUAUGAGAAGGUUGGGUUGCUGAGGAGGUUGGAGCCAUCCAAGUUGUGGGGUGUUCACAUCUGUAUGUUUCUAGCUUCAGUUGGCACAACACAGUUUCUGAAAAGUUCAUCGAGAUUGUUCUGAUGAGUCCAAGCUCAGUUGCCUCAUCAAAAGAGCAAUAUGAAAGCUAUUCAGCUACAACUGGGCAACAACAAACCACGCAUAAUCCGGCCAAACGAUUUCAGCAUGGAUUUCUUUAGCCUGAGCUAAUCUGGGAAGGUGAGUUAUCAGGUCUUUUAAAGAAAUGGGUUGACAAAGCUCUCAAUGAGAAUUGAUACGUUGCUGUUUGGGGAUAAUGGUUGAGCUUGGAGAUUCAUCCUACAAUUUCGAUGGGUUUGUCAGAACUGUGUAGUUAACUGAAGUGAAGGGAUACUGAUACAUGAUCCCAUAGCCUUUUGGCCUCCUGAUCUUUUGCUACUUCAUCAUUUAAGAAGCGUUAGCAAUAGAAUCAUAUAGAGCAGGCCUCUCAGUAAGUGGAUGACGGGGUCAUGCUCUUACGUGAUUCUCAAAAUCUGAUUGAAAUUUCUGCCAUGAUGCAACAUGCCUAUCCCGCCACUCUCAACGGCCGGAAGCCUAUCUGCCCCUAAGAUUUCUGGAGAUGAUCAAUUUUCUCCUAGCCUUUUACAACCAUGCAACCAAGUUAAAAGGUUGGUCUCACUCUAUAGUGUACAUACUAAAGAAAAUUCCAAACAAUUGAGAAGGAAGACAUCAGAAAAUCAGAAUGCACAAGUUUUCUUCAUCAGAGGUGGGAAGAAAAAUGUCAGACCGUAUUACAUUACCAAUGGAAUUUUUCCUAAAAAAAUUUCUUAUGGUGCUACUUCAAACAUUGUGUUCUAAAGAACAGUAUUCCCAUUACAAAUGUAAACUAAACUCUCUGUUUUUUGGGCCUUUGAGGAGUUGCCCUUAUCAUUGUAGACUCUUGAGUCUUAACCUAUCAUCACAAGUUUAAUUUUUGUCAAA